rnacentral:rRNA from 1 species
CGGGAUGGACGCACCGCUGGUGUACCAGUUGUUCCGCCAGGAGCAUAGCUGGGUAGCCAAGUGCGGGAGGGAUAAGCGCUGAAAGCAUCUAAGCGCGAAGCCCGCCUCAAGAUGAGAUUUCCCAGUACGUAAGACCCCUGGAAGAACACCAGGUAGAUAGGCUCGGGGUGGAAGCGCGGCAACGUGUGGAGCUGACGAGUACUAAUCGGUCGAGGGCUUAUCCUAAG